UAAUGAAGCUGCUGCUGGAGCCCCGGCUUGCAGGGAUUUCCUUGCGGCUUCGUGUUGGGUUUGGGAUUCUUUGUCUGCUGAGCUGCAGUCUGAGCCCUCGUGGGCCCCAGGGAGAUCCGUAACGGGACAGACAUCUGUGCAUAAGAUGCCUCGCCCUGUCCGUCUGCCCCUGCAGCAAAAAGAGUGCUAGUGAGUGAGAUAUCUUUUUUUUAUUUCGUUUUCCACUCACCCCCCUGGUCUAUACGCUUCCAUGUGCCUGUCCAGCAGAACUCAUGCGGUACCACAGCAUGGACCAGAGCCAGCAGCAGCAGCAUGGAGGGCCCGAGAGGCCCAUCUCACAGAGAUGGGGGUGCUGCCACUGCGGUUUCAGCACCCAGCCCUGGCUCAGACAGAUGGGAAGUCCUUGGGAGCACGAGUGGUGGUGGUGGAAGGAACCGCGCUGGGUGCUGGCUGACUCAGAGCUGUUAUCAGCUGCCCGGGAUGUGCUGAGGCUCUGCUUCUUGCCGUCGGCUGCUGCAACUGCCGUCUGCUCGUGCCCCGGCUGAUUCGGCGUGCUUUUGUUCAGCCGGCGUGGUAAUGUGGGGUACCCGUUGUCGGGGCACAUCUGGCCGCGGGGCUGGGGUAGGAGGGAGCUCCGGUGGUGUGCCCGAGGCAUCUUUGUCGUGUUGCAGCCUGUGCUGCGGGAGUCAUGCCUUAAAAACAGGAGCACCCAGCUCACCGGGUGGGUCUGCCAGGACUUCUCUAGCCUUGAGGAUCACAGCCUAGCACAGCAGUUUCGACAUUAGGUGUGGUUUUUUGGGGCUGGGGGAGCCUGAAGAGAUUCUUGAGGUCUUUCUGUUCCUAGUGGUGGUGAGAGUAAAUGUGCUUCUGGGGCAUGCUGAGUUUUUGUCAGUGUCUUUUCUCAGCCUGGGUGGGGAAGACGGAGGGCUGGCCCUGCUGCCUGUGUGUCUGUGGUCAUCUGUAGAUGUUGCUGACCAGCACAGAGGAUUUUUUCCAAAAGCUGUUUCCUCUGAUGCAUGACACAACGUUGAGUCAACAGCCGUGUCUCUUUGAAGGUUAACAUUUUUCAUGUCCCCAAGCACUUUUGUAUUGUCUUUUGUUAUUCCUUUUCCCCUCGUCCUCCCCAGCUUUUCCCAUUUCUGAUAAUCCACCGCCGGCCACUCCUACAGAAGACGAGGCUGCCGGAGAUCUGCCCAUAUCCUCGUCAGCUUCAGCCUGGGGGCCGGGCCGCUGGCGAGCACAUGACGGUCCCGGCGCCGGUCCCCGUGCAGCGGCACACAGGGAGCUGUGUGCGGGAACAAGCGACCCUGUGUGGCUCCCGCUCCGCUGGUGGCACCCGCGGGGUGGCUUUGCCUUUCCUUAGCUCCAUCUGAAAACACCCCUUGGCUGAUCUGGAAAAUGAAAACCUGGUUGGUGGAAAGCGGAUUCUAACCUUCAGAAAGCCACUUCGA